AUUGAACGCUGGCGGCAUGCCUUACACAUGCAAGUCGGACGGCAGCACGGGGCAACCUGGUGGCGAGUGGCGAACGGGUGAGUAAUGCAUCGGAACGUACCUUUCAGAGGGGGAUAACGUAGCGAAAGUUACGCUAAUACCGCAUAUUCUGUGAGCAGGAAAGCAGGGGAUCGCAAGACCUUGCGCUGAUUGAGCGGCCGAUGUCAGAUUAGCUAGUUGGUGAGGUAAAGGCUCACCAAGGCGACGAUCUGUAGCGGGUCUGAGAGGAUGAUCCGCCACACUGGAACUGAGACACGGUCCAGACUCCUACGGGAGGCAGCAGUGGGGAAUUUUGGACAAUGGGGGCAACCCUGAUCCAGCCAUGCCGCGUGAGUGAAGAAGGCCUUCGGGUUGUAAAGCUCUUUCGGCCGGGAAGAAAUCGCACGGGCUAAUACCCUGUGUGGAUGACGGUACCGGAAUAAGAAGCACCGGCUAACUACGUGCCAGCCGCCGCCGUAAUAC
rnacentral:rRNA from 1 species